UUAAUUUGAGAGUUUGAUCCUGGCUCAGGACGAACGCUGGCGGCGUGCCUAAUACAUGCAAGUCGAACGAACUCUGGUAUUGAUUGGUGCUUGCAUCAUGAUUUACAUUUGAGUGAGUGGCGAACUGGUGAGUAACACGUGGGAAACCUGCCCAGAAGCGGGGGAUAACACCUGGAAACAGAUGCUAAUACCGCAUAACAACUUGGACCGCAUGGUCCGAGUUUGAAAGAUGGCUUCGGCUAUCACUUUUGGAUGGUCCCGCGGCGUAUUAGCUAGAUGGUGGGGUAACGGCUCACCAUGGCAAUGAUACGUAGCCGACCUGAGAGGGUAAUCGGCCACAUUGGGACUGAGACACGGCCCAAACUCCUACGGGAGGCAGCAGUAGGGAAUCUUCCACAAUGGACGAAAGUCUGAUGGAGCAACGCCGCGUGAGUGAAGAAGGGUUUCGGCUCGUAAAACUCUGUUGUUAAAGAAGAACAUAUCUGAGAGUAACUGUUCAGAUAUUGACGGUAUUUAACCAGAAAGCCACGGCUAACUACGUGCCAGCAGCCGCGGUAAUACGUAGGUGGCAAGCGUUGUCCGGAUUUAUUGGGCGUAAAGCGAGCGCAGGCGGUUUUUUAAGUCUGAUGUGAAAGCCUUCGGCUCAACCGAAGAAGUGCAUCGGAAACUGGGAAACUUGAGUGCAGAAGAGGACAGUGGAACUCCAUGUGUAGCGGUGAAAUGCGUAGAUAUAUGGAAGAACACCAGUGGCGAAGGCGGCUGUCUGGUCUGUAACUGACGCUGAGGCUCGAAAGUAUGGGUAGCAAACAGGAUUAGAUACCCUGGUAGUCCAUACCGUAAACGAUGAAUGCUAAGUGUUGGAGGGUUUCCGCCCUUCAGUGCUGCAGCUAACGCAUUAAGCAUUCCGCCUGGGGAGUACGGCCGCAAGGCUGAAACUCAAAGGAAUUGACGGGGGCCCGCACAAGCGGUGGAGCAUGUGGUUUAAUUCGAAGCUACGCGAAGAACCUUACCAGGUCUUGACAUACUAUGCAAAUCUAAGAGAUUAGACGUUCCCUUCGGGGACAUGGAUACAGGUGGUGCAUGGUUGUCGUCAGCUCGUGUCGUGAGAUGUUGGGUUAAGUCCCGCAACGAGCGCAACCCUUAUUAUCAGUUGCCAGCAUUAAGUUGGGCACUCUGGUGAGACUGCCGGUGACAAACCGGAGGAAGGUGGGGAUGACGUCAAAUCAUCAUGCCCCUUAUGACCUGGGCUACACACGUGCUACAAUGGAUGGUACAACGAGUUGCGAACUCGCGAGAGUAAGCUAAUCUCUUAAAGCCAUUCUCAGUUCGGAUUGUAGGCUGCAACUCGCCUACAUGAAGUCGGAAUCGCUAGUAAUCGCGGAUCAGCAUGCCGCGGUGAAUACGUUCCCGGGCCUUGUACACACCGCCCGUCACACCAUGAGAGUUUGUAACACCCAAAGUCGGUGGGGUAACCUUUUAGGAACCAGCCGCCUAAGGUGGGACAGAUGAUUAGGGUGAAGUCGUAACAAGGUAGCCGUAGGAGAACCUGCGGCUGGAUCACCUCCUUUCUAAGGAA
rnacentral:rRNA from 1 species